rnacentral:misc_RNA from 1 species
CAAAACUCACUUGUUAACUUCCAUGAAGCAAUAGCAUCCAACGAUUCCAAACUCUGUUUCAAAAUAAAAAAUCCUAUUCGCUACAACCCUCCCAAUCCCAUCAUUUACAGCGCAACACAAGGGAUGAAGGGGAUCAAAAAAAAAAAAAAUGCAUUCAGUUACCAGUCAAAGAUCAGAAACAACAAGCAUCUCCUCCAAUUCCGACUCAAGGGUUCCAAUCGUGCAGUUUAGGCUCCGGAAGCUACCUUGCUGCGAUAAAGCUUGCCAAACACGUG